rnacentral:ncRNA from 1 species
UCCAUCGUGAGGAGGAACCUGAAGGAAGCCGGAGGCAAAGUCCUGGCCCGAUGAACAAGAACCACAUAGAAGACUGACUUGGGGUGGGUGAGUUUCUAAACAAAACAAAGCCCAACACUACACGGACCCCAUCCAGUAAAUGUGGCGGGAGAUGGGAUGAAAGUUCUUGCU